ensembl:lncRNA
CCUCGGGCGAGAUGGACAGGAAUAGGCAAACGAACGGAGAGCUGGAUAGAUGGAUGUUGAGGGAGCAUUAAAAACACGCAUCCGAUUCAUUUUUCAACAGCCGUAUGAAAUUAGGCAAUCCUCGUCCCUGGCUUCCAUUACUGAACAGUCAUGGAGAAUGUACACGCUAUGUCCUAGGCAGGCCGAUAGGAAGAGCCUGCCUAUAUGGAAAUAUAGUUAGAUGUGUGGUUGGCAACUCCGAGCAUUGAUAAAAAAACGGGUUUUAGAUUUAGUAUUGUUUUUUAUCAUUUCAUGGUUAUUUUGUUUCUCCACCGGUAGCGCAAUAAUAAGCAUGAAACAAAAUCGGAAGAGAUUGCACCUGCUCUCAAGUUGAGUGGAACAUCAUGCGGAAAGUACACAAACACCGGCGUGCACAAGGAAACGCACACAAGGAAACAUACUCAAGGAAACGCACCUGAGGAAAUGCACAAGGGUGUUCACAAGCGCAUGGAAAAAGGAACAGAAAAAAAAGCGAAAAUUGGAGGAAGAAAGAAAGAUAGAUGGGAAGAAAGAGGAUGAAGUCAUAACGUAUGUCAUCAGGUGAGCCUGGUUGAGCGCCAAACUGUUCCAGCCUUUCCUUGUGAACCCGCAAAUGCUGCCUUUUCUGUUGUGUUGUUAUGUCUAGACUACAGGAAAUGCAACAUUACAUUUGUUUACAACCAACAGGAAAUAGAACAAGAAGCUGUUAUGUGAUUAAAGAGUGCAGCCUGGA